rnacentral:misc_RNA from 1 species
UGCGUCGAUGCGCAUGCGCGUUUUGGUGCAUUCGAAAGGAUAUAAAUACAAGCUACGCGAGGCAAACGACGAAAGUUGUCACGCUGCGUCUGUCGCAUGAUGGCGCAACGUGUUGGUUGCUCGCGUGUACCGGUUAUUCUUCUGCUCAGGUUUGCAUUUAUUCACUUAGCAGGUGGCAACGUGUUGACAAGAACCGACAAUUCCAUUCAACCGAACGUGAGUUCGGCGAGUCUGACGAGCCAGGAAUCAUUACCUCUGGACGCGGAGUUUCCAGUUAUUACCGGUUUCCUGGUGGAACUUGUUGGUACGGGUUUAGAUGAUGACCUUGCGCUACGGUGGUCGCUCACCGAAAGAGAAUGCGAUGAGAAAAAACCCCUCCGGGGGAUCUGGAGAACGGAGAAAGGCGAUCGCGCUGUCUACGAAUUUUCCACCAAUUACUCUCCCGAGAUCACCGACAUUUAUUUAUGCUUCAAGACAAUUUCCCCCAAGACUGGCGAACGAUGGAUUAAUCUAGGCAUCAAAUUUGCGCUCAAUUUGACGAAUAAUGAAACUCAAUCGCGUUCGCGUCGUGAAUUUAAUUCAGUUACUAACGACCGAGUUGGUGUAUCAGUGCCAGAGAUUAAAAUCAAUGGGUUCAGAGUAGAAACUGCUGAUCGAGACCCUUCGUUCACAGACGAAGGUAUUCCAGAAAUUCUUGCUCAGGGCAAUGCGGUACUAAGAUUAUUUGGUACUGGUAUUACAAAGGACACCAUUAUUACAUUCACCGAUGUCGCAGCAAAAAGGGGAGCAAUUUGUGACAAGAUUAAAUCUGCGGAAUUUCCAGUUUAUGCAGUAUCAGAUCUAACCGCUCUUGUUAAAGUAGUCCUUCCAUUGGGUUCUCCAUUCUAUAUUUGUGCAAAGCAGUCUGUCUAUGACGGCGAGAAAGAUGACGACUUAAUUCUGUUCAAGCACCAAGGGUUUGAAACAUGGAAUACUAUUCGUACCUACAAAAAAUUGUUGCCAGUUUGGUUGAGCAUUUUCAUCAUCUUAAUGUGUCUAUGUUUCUCAGCUCUGUUUUCUGGUCUCAAUCUUGGUCUUAUGGCAAUGGAUCGAACGGAGCUGAAAAUACUUUGUAACACCGGUACUGAGAAGGAAAAGAAAUAUGCAAGAACGAUUCAACCGGUAAGAGACCAUGGGAAUUAUUUAUUGUGCUCCAUUCUAUUUUCAAAUGUAUUGGUAAAUUCAACGUUUACCAUUUUAUUGGACGAUCUAACAUCUGGACUCGUUGCUGUCAUCUGUUCUACGUUAGCUAUUGUUACAUUCGGCGAAAUUUCACCACAAGCAAUUUGUAGUAGACACGGCCUAUGCGUGGGUGCUAAAACAAUAUACAUAACGAAGCUUACGAUGAUUUUGACUUUUCCACUGAGUUAUCCCAUCAGCAAGAUUUUGGACUAUUUGCUUGGCGAGGAAAUAGGAAACGUGUACAACCGAGAACGUUUAAAGGAACUCGUGAAGGUCACCACUGGAUAUAAUGACUUGGAAAAAGAUGAAGUGAAUAUAAUCGCCGGUGCUUUGGAAUUGAGGAAAAAGACUGUGGCGGACAUAAUGACGCGAAUCGAGGAUGUCUAUAUGCUGGAUUAUAAUGCUAUCUUAGAUUUUGAGACAGUCUCAGAUAUAAUGAAAUCUGGAUUUUCAAGAAUACCAGUAUUCGAGGGCACGAGAAACAAUAUCAUUACGAUGCUCUACAUAAAAGACUUGGCAUUUGUUGAUCCGGAUGAUAACAUGCCGCUGAGAACUCUGUGCCAAUUUUAUCAAAACCCCUGUAAUUUUGUAUUCGAAGACGUUACAUUGGACGUAAUGUUCCAACAGUUUAAAGAAGGUCACAAAGGGCAUAUGGCUUUCGUGCACAGAGUUAAUAACGAGGGCGAAGGAGACCCUUUCUACGAAGUAAUAGGCCUAGUCACUUUGGAAGACGUUAUCGAAGAAUUGAUUCAAGCGGAGAUCAUGGAUGAAACGGACGUUUUCACCGAUAAUAGGAGUAAACGAAAACGGCAAAAAUCAAGAAUGCAGGACUUCACUGCAUUCGCUGAGAAGAAGGAAAAUCAGCGUAUACACAUAUCGCCACAGUUGACACUUGCUAUGUUCCAAUACUUAUCUACCACAGUUGAGGCGUUUAAACCCGACUCGAUAUCUGAAACAAUCCUGCGUCGCUUAUUGAAGCAGGAUAUAAUAUAUCACAUUAAAAUAAAGUCCCGGGAAAAGGCAAGGAACGAUCCGGGCACCAUAAUCUACCAACAAGGCAAGCCGGUCGAUUAUUUUGUUCUAAUAUUGGAAGGCCGGGUAGAAGUUACGGUAGGCAAAGAGAACAUGAUAUUCGAAAGUGGACCGUUUACUUACUUCGGCUCCCAAGCUUUGACUGCAAACAUCGGACUCGCCGAAUCGCCAACAAACGCCAAUCCUCAGUCGAUAGGAAGUAUACAAUCGGUCAAUCUGGAUUCUAUGCUUCGACACACGUUUGUGCCAGACUAUUCGGUAAGAGCGGUGACGGAGGUCUUCUACGUAAAGAUAAAAAGAUCUUUGUACCUUGCCGCAAAACGUGCCACCCUUUUGGAAAGAAGCAAAAAAGAUUCGUUACCAGGCCCGGACCAGUUCGACGACGAGGUCGAAAAGUUACUGCAUUCCUUGGACGAGGACGACCGUAGCGAGCAAGAAUCUCCGACACUUCCAAGAGACAAAGAGAAGCCAAAGGAGAAGGAGACGCUACAAUCUCCGGUUCAUGCUUCCACUACACCGAUUUCUUAUGUACCUGUCAGUGCUAGUCCAAAUACCAAUUCAAAGUUUAUUUCCUCGAGUGGUCCCAAUGGGAAGCUGAAAAACUCGCCAACUAAGGGUCCGGACGUAUUGGCUCCUGUGGAAGGUCAACAGAAGCUCGAUUUAGAUGCGGAAAUCUUCGCCCGUAAAGCAGAAGCCGAGAGACUUUUAUCUGCGGCAAAGUCACAGGUUGACGAGGAGAGGACUAAUUUAUUGCCUAAACAGGAGCACUCUUAACGCUCGGAGCGUGGCCGAUGGAGUCCAAUCCUGCCGGCAGCAGAAAUGACAACGAAAUUAAAGUGCAACGAGGGACAAGAAAAGCCAGCGUGACACAUACUGCGACUGUAGUGCUAAUUUAGUACGUAACAAAUUAGUCACCCGACUGAACAAAGGUAUCGAACAAUAUGAUCAGUAACACUGCUCAGGGAGAAGUUGCCAAGAUCCUACAUGCCGGUGAUUAACGAAAUACUCGAUACCAGUUAACGUAAUGGUGAACCGUAUCCCGACAGGUUCAUAUGACUGCUCAUUUAGUUCGUAUACCGUUAAGUGUUGAGUAAGUUAAAACGAAUACGUUAUGACAUUAAUCAUUCGACUCGUACUUCCUGUGACACGGACUCCAUUUAGCGAUAUCUAAUCCGUUUUUAUUCUAUUUUCACUGCCACACAUUUCCUCUGGAUGCCAAGACUUAACUUUUCGUCUCUAUUAAGCGAAGCCAUUGUACUUAUACUCGGAUAGUAACACUAAGUUUCGAUACGUCUUACGAUGCGUCGCAAGGAAAUUCUUUAAAUAGUUAAUUAGUAUGUCGGAAUGCCGGUGGGGUCGUCGGUGACCGGCAAUCAGUCGACGUUAAAAUAGGAAUUUUUCUUUGGCAUUCUACGUGAUUAAUCACUGAAUUAAUCGAACUACUUGGUACUUAGGUGAAGCAAUGCCAAUAGUUACAAAUUUAGAAUAUUUAUGUAUUUACGGGUACAGCAUUUUGACUACGUAAACGGAGGAGAAUAUACAUUAGCUAUAUAGCGAUAAGGUUUAAUCAUCCUUAGAAAACUGUGCGAAAGUGUUGAUCGCUCUCAUUCGGGUGAUUGUGCGACAGAGAUGAAGGACUUUAACGCGCGUGAGGGGAAGAAAGAGAGCAGUACAAACUAUGAAACGUUUUUUUUUUGGGCGCAUCAGUCGAUUCGAGUAGAUCGUUCUCUAAAUGCAGGGGGUUUUUAAGGUCUUUGUUUUCUUUCGUCGCUCUUUAUGUUCAUUGCCGUAGAGUAACUAUUCUACGUAAUAUUUCUAUUCGGUGCCAACCCUUUUAGAAUCACUUUUGACGCUUGAUCGAUAUUAGUUUUCAUACAGUGCCUUAAAGACUGCACUUUGUUGGAAAACAAUGGCGCAUAAUAAGCUUUAAAACUUGAAGAAGUGACAUCUCGUGCUCUUAAUCUUUCCUUAAGAAAAAAAAAAAAUUGGAUCAGUAAUUUUUAAUGCUUCGUGGAGAAAUGUUUAGGUGUGCUUUUUGUGUAAUCGCAUAUCAAGUAGCACGUAGAUAUUGAAAUAUAAAAAAGAAAGGAAUGUAACGUAUUUUUUAUAUUCAGAUUUACCGCUACGGAAGCAACCACGACAGGAGUUUAAGACAUAUCUCGUAUUUCCGGUUGAUGUUUUUUAAUCAGUGAAUAGAACGUUAUUUUCGAGAGAGGAGGUUAUUUUCUUUUUACACACAUAAAUCAUUGUUUUUUACACUCAUGAAUCGUUGACAGACUUUUAAAACGCCCUUCAUGCAGAGGCCGUCAUAGCGGUGAAGUAAUCCGAAGUUGUUUCAAUUUUAUAGCGAUGUUUUUUUUUUCCUUCGCAAGAAAUUAAUAGUUGACUUUCUAAGCAAUGUUCACUGAUGGCGCUUAAAAUAAUACGUAACCAUGUAAGUUUCUUUUUUAACUUACAACGGUCGUGGCACGAAGCGAGUCAUUUCGUACAAUGUGUCCAGUGGUUUUCGGAAUGAUAAAUGCGGUCCUGUCCGUUCUUUCUCGAUUGUGUAAACGUUAAUGGAAUGGCACUCUCAGAUUUUAAAUGUAUUUAAAAAGAAAAAGAAAAUAAUUGUUAUUGUUUUAAAUUUUACUCGUUAUUAUUUAUUAAUAACAUCGAUAUUCAUCGAGACCCGUUGUAAAUGUUGGAAGAAAGAUGAGACUCUCGCAGUCUUAAACUACGUAUUGCAUUCUCUAUAUUCGCUCUUAAAGAUUUCGAAUAAAAUACAUGUUAUGCAGCAUGGAUUGCAUGAGUUAACUUCAGUUAUUAUAUACUAGUACCAAGCGUUUCUUCAGAUUAUACGAUCAUUUUCAAAGGCGAAUCGACAGUCUACGUCUAUAGGGAGUAUAAUCGCAAUAGGAUAACGUAAACUUUAAUAAGUAAACUUAAAUACCGUUCAACGUUACUAAAUCAUGUUUACUAACGACGAAUUGUAAAUUUGUUCACGUAUAUUGUACUUACCGUUCUGUACUUAAUAGUAACAAUGUGAGUGAAGUAAUGUAAUUAAUUAGAGAUAUUUUUAACCGAGCAAACAGUCACGCCUUACGUAUUUACGAGAUAUAAAGUAUCGAUCGUAAUUCGGUGUUACACUUAUUUAUGAAUAAUAUCGUAUAUGAUUAGACGGAGCAGAAAGAGAAGGGACUUUGCAUGAGUGCCUUCGGGUGCUACAUAACUGUCCUUUAAGUAGACUUUAAUUACACUUUUGCGCCUGCAAGUGGAGUUGUACUUUCUCUUUAUACGAAAAACAGAUUAAACAGAAAAAAGAAAAAAAAAACAACGUAUCAGAAUAACGUCA